UGGGGAGUAUUGGACAAUGGGGGCAACCCUGAUCCAGCAAUGCCGCGUGUGUGAAGAAGGCCUGCGGGUUGUAAAGCACUUUCGGUGGGGAAGAACGUACUUGUGGCUAAUAUCCACGAGUGGUGACGGUACCCAAAGAAGAAGCACCGGCUAACUCUGUGCCAGCAGCCGCGGUAAUACAGAGGGUGCGAGCGUUAAUCGGAAUUACUGGGCGUAAAGCGCACGUAGGUGGUUUGGUAAGUCGGAUGUGAAAUCCCCGGGCUCAACCUGGGAACUGCAUUCGAUACUGUCGAACUAGAGUCUGGUAGAGGGUGGUGGAAUUCCAGGUGUAGCGGUGAAAUGCGUAGAUAUCUGGAGGAACAUCAGUGGCGAAGGCGGCCACCUGGACUGAGACUGACACUGAGGUGCGAAAGCGUGGGUAGCAAACAGG
rnacentral:rRNA from 1 species